CGCAGGCGCAGCUGUGCGGCGGACUCCGCUGCCAAGAUUCCGGACCCCUCUCGAUCUGGAGCAGCCUUGCAAUACAGAAGAAGAAAUGGCUCCUGUGUUGCUGACAGCCAGGCCCCAGGAAUCAGUGACAUUCAAGGAUGUGGCUGUGAACUUCACCCAAGAGGAGUGGCAGCGACUGAACCCGGCUCAGAGGGACCUAUAUAGAGAUGUAAUGUUGGAGAACUAUAGAAAUCUCAUCUCCCUGGGGCUCCCCAUUUCUAAACCUGAUGUGAUCUUUCAUUUGGAGCAAGGAGAAGAGCCAUGCAUGUUUGAUUUACAAGGAAUUGAAGAAGGAGAGAUCUCAAGAAAUUCCUAUUUGGAGAGGGAGAAUAAACCUGGGACCCAGGGGUCAGCUCCAAAGCAGAGCAUUUCUGAAGAAGUAGAAUCAUCAGAAGUAUUAGUGGGAAGAUUCACAAGAGAAGUUACUGUACCUGAGGUUAGAUUGGAGAAGAAAAGAGAAAAUUCUGAAGGGAAGACAAGGAGAAAAUCUGUUUCCCAUAAGAGAAGUCUCAAGAAAAUGUCAAUAAAUGACCAAAAAAAUUCCAGUAAGGAGAGAGGCCCUGAAUGUAAUCUAUGUGGGAAAACCUUCAGGCACAGAAGUAGCCUUCGGAGACAUCAGAUUACUCACACAGGAGAAAGACCCUAUGAAUGUAAUGAAUGUGGGAAAGCUUUCUUUGACUGUUCAUCCCUUACUAUACAUGAAAGAAUUCAUACUGGAGAGAAGCCCUAUGAAUGUGAUGAAUGUGGGAAAGCCUUCUUUAACUGCUCAAAUCUUACCAGACAUCAGAGAAUUCAUACUGGAGAGAGUCCCUACAAAUGUAAAGAAUGUGGUAAAGCCUUCAGACAUAGCAGUAGCCUUAGGAGACAUCAAAUGACUCACACGGGACAAAGACCCUAUGAAUGUAAUGAAUGUGGAAAAGCCUUCUUUGAUCGUUCAACUCUUGUCAUACAUGAGAGAAUUCACACUGGGGAAAAGCCCUAUGAAUGUGAUGAAUGCGGGAAAGCCUUCUUCGACAGAUCAUCCCUUACUCAACAUCAGAAAAUUCAUAGUAAAGAGAAGCUCUAUGAAUGCAGAGAAUGUGGGAAAGCCUUCAACUUGAGAAGGCACCUUAACCGACAUCAGAUAACUCAUACUGGAGAAAAACCUUAUGAAUGUAGUGUAUGUGGGAAAGUUUUCAGUCGCAAGUCAUCUGUUAUCCAGCAUCAACGACGUUAUGCCAAAGAAUGAUCCUAGGAAUAUGAAUUGAGGGAAAACUUCAGCCAGACUUGUCACUUUAUUAAAUGCUCAAGAGUCAAGAGUGGGAGAAUAGAUCUGAAACCCAGGAUUCAACUGUAAAGCAGAAUUAUAAUUAGAGGGAGAAUUAAUAAAUUUAUAACCAAAGAAUUGAGAAAUAGAAAAAAUAAAACAGUCACUUUUAACUAUAAAAUUUAAAUAUUUUUGUACAAAAUCAAUGCAAGAGGUUAUAGAUAUGAAGAAUUGAGAGAAGCAUGGGAAGACUUACAUGAACUGAUGCAGAAUGAAGUAAGCAGAACCAGGAAGACAGUAUACAGAAUGAUCACAAUAUAAUUUGAAAGAACAAAGAAACUGAAUGCUGUGCAAUUAUAAUGACCAAGCUUGGACCUGGAGAAAAACUGAAAGAAUAUAUUUCUCUUCUUUCUUCAUAGAUGUGAGAGAUUCUGUGUAUGGAAUUUUGCAUAGGCUCUCAGACUGAGUUGAUUUUGCUAACCUACUUUUUUCCCUUGUUUU